rnacentral:rRNA from 1 species
AAAGGAAUAGACGGGGACCCGCACAAGUGGUGGAGCAUGUGGUUUAAUUCGAAGAUACGCGAAGAACCUUACCUAGCCUUGACAUAUAUUAGAACUCCGCAGAGAUGCAGAGGUGCCUUCGGGAGCUUUUAUACAGGUGCUGCACGGCUGUCGUCAGCUCGUGUCGUGAGAUGUUGGGUUAAGUCCCGCAACGAGCGCAACCCUCAUCACUAGUUACUAACGGUUCGGCCGAGGACUCUAGUGAGACUGCCUUCGUAAGGAGGAGGAAGGUGAGGACGACGUCAAGUCAUCAUGGCCCUUACGGCUAGGGCAACACACGUGCUACAAUGGCCAGGACAGUGAGACGCGAUACCGCGAGGUGGAGCAAAUCUAUAAACCUGGUCUCAGUUCGGAUUGUAGUCUGCAACUCGACUACAUGAAGCUGGAAUCACUAGUAAUCGUAGAUCAGCUAUGCUACGGUGAAUACGUUCCCGGGUCUUGUACACACCGCCCGU